AACGAACGCUGGCGGCAGGCUUAACACAUGCAAGUCAAACGCCCCGCAAGGGGAGUGGCAGACGGGUGAGUAACGCGUGGGAAUCUACCCAGUUCUACGGAACAACUGAGGGAAACUUCAGCUAAUACCGUAUACGCCCUACGGGGGAAAGAUUUAUCGGAAUUGGAUGAGCCCGCGUAAGAUUAGCUAGUUGGUGGGGU
rnacentral:rRNA from 1 species